rnacentral:rRNA from 1 species
AACUUGUGCUAAUACCGGAUAAGUCUUUACAGAGAAAGCUUUAUGCACCAUUGGAUGAGCCUGCACUUGAUUAGUUUGUUGGUGGGGUAAUGGCCUACCAAGACUGUGAUCAAUAGCUGAUUUGAGAGGAUGAUCAGCCACAUUGGGACUGAGACACGGCCCAAACUCCUACGGGAGGCAGCAGUGGGGAAUCUUGCACAAUGGAGGAAACUCUGAUGCAGCGAUGCCGCGUGAGUGAAGAAGGCCCUUGGGUUGUAAAGCUCUUUCGUCGGGGAAGAAAAUGACUGUACCCGAAUAAGAAG